rnacentral:rRNA from 1 species
GGUUAAGCGACUAAGCGUACACGGUGGAUGCCCUGGCAGUCAGAGGCGAUGAAGGACGUGCUAAUCUGCGAUAAGCGUCGGUAAGGUGAUAUGAACCGUUAUAACCGGCGAUUUCCGAAUGGGGAAACCCAGUGUGAUUCGUCACACUAUCAUUAACUGAAUCCAUAGGUUAAUGAGGCGAACCGGGGGAACUGAAACAUCUAAGUACCCCGAGGAAAAGAAAUCAACCGAGAUUCCCCCAGUAGCGGCGAGCGAACGGGGAGGAGCCCAGAGCCUGAAUCAGUGUGUGUGUUAGUGGAAGCGUCUGGAAAGGCGCGCGAUACAGGGUGACAGCCCCGUACACAAAAAUGCACAUGCUGUGAGCUCGAUGAGUAGGGCGGGACACGUGGUAUCCUGUCUGAAUAUGGGGGGACCAUCCUCCAAGGCUAAAUACUCCUGACUGACCGAUAGUGAACCAGUACCGUGAGGGAAAGGCGAAAAGAACCCCGGCGAGGGGAGUGAAAAAGAACCUGAAACCGUGUACGUACAAGCAGUGGGAGCACGCUUAGGCGUGUGACUGCGUACCUUUUGUAUAAUGGGUCAGCGACUUAUAUUCUGUAGCAAGGUUAACCGAAUAGGGGAGCCGAAGGGAAACCGAGUCUUAACUGGGCGUUAAGUUGCAGGGUAUAGACCCGAAACCCGGUGAUCUAGCCAUGGGCAGGUUGAAGGUUGGGUAACACUAACUGGAGGACCGAACCGACUAAUGUUGAAAAAUUAGCGGAUGACUUGUGGCUGGGGGUGAAAGGCCAAUCAAACCGGGAGAUAGCUGGUUCUCCCCGAAAGCUAUUUAGGUAGCGCCUCGUGAAUUCAUCUCCGGGGGUAGAGCACUGUUUCGGCAAGGGGGUCAUCCCGACUUACCAACCCGAUGCAAACUGCGAAUACCGGAGAAUGUUAUCACGGGAGACACACGGCGGGUGCUAACGUCCGUCGUGAAGAGGGAAACAACCCAGACCGCCAGCUAAGGUCCCAAAGUCAUGGUUAAGUGGGAAACGAUGUGGGAAGGCCCAGACAGCCAGGAUGUUGGCUUAGAAGCAGCCAUCAUUUAAAGAAAGCGUAAUAGCUCACUGGUCGAGUCGGCCUGCGCGGAAGAUGUAACGGGGCUAAACCAUGCACCGAAGCUGCGGCAGCGACACUGUGUGUUGUUGGGUAGGGGAGCGUUCUGUAAGCCUGCGAAGGUGUGCUGUGAGGCAUGCUGGAGGUAUCAGAAGUGCGAAUGCUGACAUAAGUAACGAUAAAGCGGGUGAAAAGCCCGCUCGCCGGAAGACCAAGGGUUCCUGUCCAACGUUAAUCGGGGCAGGGUGAGUCGACCCCUAAGGCGAGGCCGAAAGGCGUAGUCGAUGGGAAACAGGUUAAUAUUCCUGUACUUGGUGUUACUGCGAAGGGGGGACGGAGAAGGCUAUGUUGGCCGGGCGACGGUUGUCCCGGUUUAAGCGUGUAGGCUGGUUUUCCAGGCAAAUCCGGAAAAUCAAGGCUGAGGCGUGAUGACGAGGCACUACGGUGCUGAAGCAACAAAUGCCCUGCUUCCAGGAAAAGCCUCUAAGCAUCAGGUAACAUCAAAUCGUACCCCAAACCGACACAGGUGGUCAGGUAGAGAAUACCAAGGCGCUUGAGAGAACUCGGGUGAAGGAACUAGGCAAAAUGGUGCCGUAACUUCGGGAGAAGGCACGCUGAUAUGUAGGUGAAGUCCCUCGCGGAUGGAGCUGAAAUCAGUCGAAGAUACCAGCUGGCUGCAACUGUUUAUUAAAAACACAGCACUGUGCAAACACGAAAGUGGACGUAUACGGUGUGACGCCUGCCCGGUGCCGGAAGGUUAAUUGAUGGGGUCAGCGCAAGCGAAGCUCUUGAUCGAAGCCCCGGUAAACGGCGGCCGUAACUAUAACGGUCCUAAGGUAGCGAAAUUCCUUGUCGGGUAAGUUCCGACCUGCACGAAUGGCGUAAUGAUGGCCAGGCUGUCUCCACCCGAGACUCAGUGAAAUUGAACUCGCUGUGAAGAUGCAGUGUACCCGCGGCAAGACGGAAAGACCCCGUGAACCUUUACUAUAGCUUGACACUGAACAUUGAGCCUUGAUGUGUAGGAUAGGUGGGAGGCUUAGAAGUGUGGACGCCAGUCUGCAUGGAGCCGACCUUGAAAUACCACCCUUUAAUGUUUGAUGUUCUAACGUUGACCCGUAAUCCGGGUUGCGGACAGUGUCUGGUGGGUAGUUUGACUGGGGCGGUCUCCUCCUAAAGAGUAACGGAGGAGCACGAAGGUUGGCUAAUCCUGGUCGGACAUCAGGAGGUUAGUGCAAUGGCAUAAGCCAGCUUGACUGCGAGCGUGACGGCGCGAGCAGGUGCGAAAGCAGGUCAUAGUGAUCCGGUGGUUCUGAAUGGAAGGGCCAUCGCUCAACGGAUAAAAGGUACUCCGGGGAUAACAGGCUGAUACCGCCCAAGAGUUCAUAUCGACGGCGGUGUUUGGCACCUCGAUGUCGGCUCAUCACAUCCUGGGGCUGAAGUAGGUCCCAAGGGUAUGGCUGUUCGCCAUUUAAAGUGGUACGCGAGCUGGGUUUAGAACGUCGUGAGACAGUUCGGUCCCUAUCUGCCGUGGGCGCUGGAGAACUGAGGGGGGCUGCUCCUAGUACGAGAGGACCGGAGUGGACGCAUCACUGGUGUUCGGGUUGUCAUGCCAAUGGCACUGCCCGGUAGCUAAAUGCGGAAGAGAUAAGUGCUGAAAGCAUCUAAGCACGAAACUUGCCCCGAGAUGAGUUCUCCCUGACUCCUUGAGAGUCCUGAAGGAACGUUGAAGACGACGACGUUGAUAGGCCGGGUGUGUAAGCGCAGCGAUGCGUUGAGCUAACCGGUACUAAUGAACCGUGAGGCUUAACCUU